AAGCAUCUUUCUGUCCUAUGAAGAUGGAAAGCUUGCAGUCUGAUAGGUCCUGCCCACCCAAAUGCUUUUCUAGAUACAAAAAAUUACAUAUCAUUUCACUGAUGACUAAGUUUGCUGAAGUACAAAUGUCUGUGAGCACAACAAUUCAUUCUCCACUGAGAAGUAGCCAUUUAGCAGCAGGUCUUGUUAUGAUACAUGCACAGCUUCUUGCAAUCAGCCAAGGCUCAGACUGAGAUUCACAUGGCCAAUACAGAAUCAUUCUCUUGACUGAAGUACAAUCAGAAAUAUUUCUUGUAGGUACCACUUCCCUUAAGAAGAGACUGGUUGGUGGAACUGAGAGAACCCCAAACAUUAAGUGAAUUCUUCACAGUGCAGAUGAAUUACUGCUCACAGAUGCUGAAUGCCUCCCCAGCUCCUCAGAGCUUCCAUGGAGACUCCCGCAACACUGGUUGCCCUGCAUGGCUGCCUCUAGCUCCAGGACCAACCUUGAAGCAGGGCUAGCAGUGAGGGCUACGUUAUACUGUCCUCUGCUGUGGAUGUCACCGACUCCAUCUGGCUUAGAUUUGCAGGAUUUUGCCUCACUGUUGCAGUGGCAUGAGUGAAACAGAAAUCACAGAAUCUAAGGGGUUGGAAGGGACCUCGAAAGAUCAUUGGGUCCAACCCCCCUGCCAAAGCAGGUUCCUUAGAGCAGGCUGCCCAGGUAGGCAUCCAGACGGGCCUUGAAUAUCUCCAGAGAAGGAGACUUCACAACCUCCCUGGGCUUCACUGGUUCCAGUGCUCCGUCACCCUCACUGUGAAGAAGUUCUUUUGCAUGUUGGUGCGGAACUUCCUGUGCUUUAUCUUGUGGCCAUUAGCCCUUGUCCUAUCCCCACAAACCACUGAAAAGAGGUUGGCCAAAUCCCUCUGUCUCCCACACCUCAGGUACUUAUACACAAUGAUGAGAUCAAACGGGGAAGGUGGAGUCAUUGCUCACUUUUGACAGGAACUGCUGUGGCUGAAGAUAAGACCAACAAAAAAUAAGGCAGAUGAAAACUGAAAUGAAGUGGGUGUGGCUGGAAGCUGCCUCCACCUGCAGACAAGAAAGCUGUUGUCUGUGGGGGAAGAAGGAUCCCUUUUAGCCGUCCUCAGCAGACUGGGUCACCGGCAUGCAUGGCAUGAUCUGUGUAUGUCACUAAAAGUGCUGUAUGGUUACAUACUGGGUAUGUGCGAGACACUAGUUAGCUAUGAAUUCUAAUGUUAUAAGAGUUAUAAGAUGCCAGUGCAUUCUCUUGGGUGGAUGACAGCCAAGCAACUGUAUCUACAACGGAGGAAGCCGGCAGAGAGACCAAGAAAGAAGCUUCUUCAACGUCCACCAUCUCCCACUGUACCUAUCCAUCCAUGCUUCUGGCUCCCUACUCCCCUCUCCCUUUUUCUUCUCUAUCACUGCUAUCUGCAUCUGUCUCAUCUUCCCCUGCAAAUCUCUCUGUCCUGCUGCCUGACCCAUUGUUUCUUGCUAUACCCACCUGUCUAGAUGGCGCUUCUCUUUUUCUCUCCUUACGCCUCUGUCCUGCUCCCUGGCCUUAUUUUUCUUUCCUCCAGCCCUGCUCUACAGUCCAUGGUAGCAGAAAGCAACAGGUCAGCAUGGGACAGAUGAAUGCUCAUCCAAUGCUGAUUUCUGAGGUGAAAUGCGGGGAAAUGGGUGCAUAGGGGCCAUCAGCCAUGCAGCAGCCUCCCUCCAGGCACUGAUGUGCAUGAAUGAACAGCUGCUUUGUUUAUUACACUCCUGUGUUUGCAGUCCCUUUGCACAGAGUAAGUGGCUGUCACUAUGUUCAGGGAAGCAGGUUAAAUAGUGCAUGUGUGGGUGUGGGAAUGUAUCAGGUGGUGGCCCAGCAUUCCUGAAGGGUGGCAGCUGUUGGAUGAGUCUGGAGGAGCCCCUGAUGGAGGCAGAAGGGGAUGGCCCCGCUGUGUAAAGGGGCUUUGGAGCUGUUCUCUGACAAAGGAGUAGUUGCCAGCUCUUGUGGACAGAGUCAGGGAGAAGGUGAGUGCAGUUGUGAAACAUGGGAUUAGAAAUUAGAGAGUGAUUGAUUAAGAAUGAAUAUGUAGGCAACACUCAUUGCUUAAUAUGUGCUACAUUUGCGAUGUACUGUGCCUGUGCUGUGCUUAGGCCUCCAGAUAACAGGAGCCCCUGAGACCCCAAGAACCAGAUCAAACCAACCUUAUGGUUCGGACUGUGACCAGGGGCUCAGAGAUAAGCAGGACUGUUCAUAAAAGGACAAGAUAAAGAAUGUCAAAUAUGCAAGGCCUCAAGAUAACAGGAGCCCCUUGGACCCUGAGAACUGGACCAAACCAACCUUAUGGCCCAGAUUGUGACCAAGGGCUCAGAGAGCAUGCACAAGGAGACGAGGUAAAAAGUUCAACCCUGAUGAAGAUAUCUUACUUCAUCCUCACGACCCUCAGCGCCCACCACCAGAAGGCACUGUGCAAGCGCAGAUGGGAGGAGUUUAUGGAAAUGACUUCUUGGAGCUAAUUUUAAUACUAAGCGGGGACAGGUCAUGCAUAUGUAUAGGCGUACUGGGAAACUUCAUGCAUAUGUAACUCUUUACUAUAUAUAACCAAAGCAAGUUGCCACGUUAGGGUGCGCACAACUUUGGUGGGACUACCCCCUGUGCUGCCCAGCACUGAAUAAACAUACCUACUUUACAAUCUUACUGAUUGUGGAGUCAGCUUUCCGCGAGUCAAACCAAAGCAAGUUGCCAUGUUAAGGGCGCACGACUUUGGUGGGACUACCCCCCCUUGCUGCCCAGCACUGAAUAAACAUACCUACUUUACAAUGUUA